rnacentral:rRNA from 1 species
UACGUAGGUGGCAAGCGUUGUCCGGAUUUACUGGGCGUAAAGAGUGCGUAGGCGGUUCUUUGUGUCCGCUGUGAAAGCCCCGGGCUAACCUGGGAAUGGCAGUGGAAACUAGAGAACUUGAAUCUGGCAGAGGGGGGUGGAAUGCCACGGUGUAGCAGUGAAAUGCGUAGAUAUGUGGCGGAACACCGAAUGGCGAAGGCAGCCCCCUGGGC